rnacentral:rRNA from 1 species
GUGAGGAAUAUUGGUCAAUGGACGAGAGCCUGAACCAGCCAAGUCGCGUGAAGGAAGAAGGAUCUAUGGUUCGUAAACUUCUUUUGCAGGGGAAUAAAGUGCAGGACGUGUCCUGUUUUGUAUGUACCCUGAGAAUAAGGAUCGGCUAACUCCGUGCCAGCAGCCGCGGUAAUACGGAGGAUCCGAGCGUUAUCCGGAUUUAUUGGGUUUAAAGGGUGCGUAGGUGGUUUGAUAAGUCAGCGGUGAAAGUUUGCAGCUUAACUGUAAAAAUGCCGUUGAAACUGUCGGACUUGAGUGUAAAUGAGGUAGGCGGAAUGCGUGGUGUAGCGGUGAAAUGCAUAGAUAUCACGCAGAACUCCGAUUGCGAAGGCAGCUUACUAAGCUACAACUGACACUGAAGCACGAAAGCGUGGGGAUCAAACAGGAUUAGAAACCCUAGUAGUCC